GGACUUGGGCAGUCUGGCUAUGACACCUGUCACCCCAUUGAUUCAGCUGAUCUGGCUGGCUGGCUGGGUGUCUCCUUCCUCCCUCAGAGCUCCAUGUGGGUCCCUCCUGAAGCUGCACACUGGGUCCAAGAGGACGACCUUCCCUGAUAGAGGAGGACUGUUGUUCAGUCGAGGGCAUACAAGUAGCUGCACUCCCUUGCUAGAACCUCCAAAUGAGCCCUCAAGAUCCAUUCGUAGGAGAACGUAGGGUAGUCAGGAGUCCAAGAUUCCAGACACAUCGAGAUGAGGUGCUGCAUGUGGCAGCUGCCUUACUUU
ensembl:misc_RNA 7SK 7SK RNA